rnacentral:rRNA from 1 species
UACGAAGGGGGCUAGCGUUGUUCGGAAUUACUGGGCGUAAAGGGCGCGUAGGCGGUACUUCAAGUUAGGCGUGAAAGCCCGGGGCUCAACCCCGGAACUGCCUUUAAGACUGCAUCGCUUGAACAUCGGAGAGGUGAGUGGAAUUCCGAGUGUAGAGGUGAAAUUCGUAGAUAUUCGGAAGAACACCAGUGGCGAAGGCGGCUCACUGGACGAUUGUUGACGCUGAGGUGCGAAAGCGUGGGGAGCAAACAGG